rnacentral:misc_RNA from 1 species
AACUUUUAGCAAUGGAUCACUAGGCUCUUGCAUCGAUGAAGAACGCAGCGAAAUGCGAUACGUAAUGUGAAUUGCAGAAUUCAGUGAAUCAUCGAAUCUUUGAACGCACCUUGCACCCUUUGGACUCUCUGAAGGGUAUGCUCGUUUGAGUGUCAUUGUACUCUCACACUCUCUGAUCCUUUGGAUUUGGGGAGCGGUGGACUUGGGUGCUUGCUGCUUCCUUGUGGCUCACCUGAAAUGCGUCAGUGCAUCUCUUGAUUGGACAUAGUACGGCGUGAUAAGUGUCUUCGCCGGCACCUCGUAAGAGGGUGGCCGAUUGGGAGCUCUGUGCUUUCCAACCGUCUUCGGACAAUCUCUGACAACUUGACCUCAAAUCGAGUAGGACUACCCGCUGAACUUAAGCAUAUCAAUAAGCGGAGGCU